UUAAGUUAUUAAGGGCGCACGGUGGAUGCCUUGGCACUAGAAGCCGAUGAAGGACGUUACUAACGACGAUAUGCUUUGGGGAGCUGUAAGUAAGCUUUGAUCCAGAGAUUUCCGAAUGGGGAAACCCAGCAUGAGUUAUGUCAUGUUAUCGAUAUGUGAAUACAUAGCAUAUCAGAAGGCACACCCGGAGAACUGAAACAUCUUAGUACCCGGAGGAAGAGAAAGAAAAUUCGAUUCCCUUAGUAGCGGCGAGCGAAAUGGGAAGAGCCCAAACCAACAAGCUUGCUUGUUGGGGUUGUAGGACACUCUAUACGGAGUUACAAAGGACGACAUUAGACGAAUCAUCUGGAAAGAUGAAUCAAAGAAGGUAAUAAUCCUGUAGUCGAAAAUGUUGUCUCUCUUGAGUGGAUCCUGAGUACGACGGAGCACGUGAAAUUCCGUCGGAAUCUGGGAGGACCAUCUCCUAAGGCUAAAUACUCUCUAGUGACCGAUAGUGAACCAGUACCGUGAGGGAAAGGUGAAAAGCACCCCGGAAGGGGAGUGAAAUAGAACCUGAAACCGUGUGCUUACAAGUAGUCAGAGCCCGUUAAUGGGUGAUGGCGUGCCUUUUGUAGAAUGAACCGGCGAGUUACGAUUUGAUGCAAGGUUAAGCAGUAAAUGUGGAGCCGUAGCGAAAGCGAGUCUGAAUAGGGCGUUUAGUAUUUGGUCGUAGACCCGAAACCAGGUGAUCUACCCUUGGUCAGGUUGAAGUUCAGGUAACACUGAAUGGAGGACCGAACCGACUUACGUUGAAAAGUGAGCGGAUGAACUGAGGGUAGCGGAGAAAUUCCAAUCGAACCUGGAGAUAGCUGGUUCUCUCCGAAAUAGCUUUAGGGCUAGCCUCAAGUGAUGAUUAUUGGAGGUAGAGCACUGUUUGGACGAGGGGCCCCUCUCGGGUUACCGAAUUCAGACAAACUCCGAAUGCCAAUUAAUUUAACUUGGGAGUCAGAACAUGGGUGAUAAGGUCCGUGUUCGAAAGGGAAACAGCCCAGACCACCAGCUAAGGUCCCAAAAUAUAUGUUAAGUGGAAAAGGAUGUGGCGUUGCCCAGACAACUAGGAUGUUGGCUUAGAAGCAGCCAUCAUUUAAAGAGUGCGUAAUAGCUCACUAGUCGAGUGACACUGCGCCGAAAAUGUACCGGGGCUAAACAUAUUACCGAAGCUGUGGAUUGUCCUUUGGACAAUGGUAGGAGAGCGUUCUAAGGGCGUUGAAGCAUGAUCGUAAGGACAUGUGGAGCGCUUAGAAGUGAGAAUGCCGGUGUGAGUAGCGAAAGACGGGUGAGAAUCCCGUCCACCGAUUGACUAAGGUUUCCAGAGGAAGGCUCGUCCGCUCUGGGUUAGUCGGGUCCUAAGCUGAGGCCGACAGGCGUAGGCGAUGGAUAACAGGUUGAUAUUCCUGUACCACCUAUAAUCGUUUUAAUCGAUGGGGGGACGCAGUAGGAUAGGCGAAGCGUGCGAUUGGAUUGCACGUCUAAGCAGUAAGGCUGAGUAUUAGGCAAAUCCGGUACUCGUUAAGGCUGAGCUGUGAUGGGGAGAAGACAUUGUGUCUUCGAGUCGUUGAUUUCACACUGCCGAGAAAAGCCUCUAGAUAGAAAAUAGGUGCCCGUACCGCAAACCGACACAGGUAGUCAAGAUGAGAAUUCUAAGGUGAGCGAGCGAACUCUCGUUAAGGAACUCGGCAAAAUGACCCCGUAACUUCGGGAGAAGGGGUGCUCUUUAGGGUUAACGCCCAGAAGAGCCGCAGUGAAUAGGCCCAAGCGACUGUUUAUCAAAAACACAGGUCUCUGCUAAACCGUAAGGUGAUGUAUAGGGGCUGACGCCUGUCCGGUGCUGGAAGGUUAAGAGGAGUGGUUAGCUUCUGCGAAGCUACGAAUCGAAGCCCCAGUAAACGGCGGCCGUAACUAUAACGGUCCUAAGGUAGCGAAAUUCCUUGUCGGGUAAGUUCCGACCCGCACGAAAGGCGUAACGAUUUGGGCACUGUCUCAACGAGAGACUCGGUGAAAUCAUAGUACCUGUGAAGAUGCAGGUUACCCGCGACAGGACGGAAAGACCCCGUGGAGCUUUACUGUAGCCUGAUAUUGAAAUUCGGCACAGCUUGUACAGGAUAGGUAGGAGCCUUUGAAACGUGAGCGCUAGCUUACGUGGAGGCGCUGGUGGGAUACUACCCUAGCUGUGUUGGCUUUCUAACCCGCACCACUUAUCGUGGUGGGAGACAGUGUCAGGCGGGCAGUUUGACUGGGGCGGUCGCCUCCUAAAAGGUAACGGAGGCGCUCAAAGGUUCCCUCAGAAUGGUUGGAAAUCAUUCAUAGAGUGUAAAGGCAUAAGGGAGCUUGACUGCGAGACCUACAAGUCGAGCAGGGUCGAAAGACGGACUUAGUGAUCCGGUGGUUCCGCAUGGAAGGGCCAUCGCUCAACGGAUAAAAGCUACCCCGGGGAUAACAGGCUUAUCUCCCCCAAGAGUUCACAUCGACGGGGAGGUUUGGCACCUCGAUGUCGGCUCAUCGCAUCCUGGGGCUGUAGUCGGUCCCAAGGGUUGGGCUGUUCGCCCAUUAAAGCGGUACGCGAGCUGGGUUCAGAACGUCGUGAGACAGUUCGGUCCCUAUCCGUCGUGGGCGUAGGAAAUUUGAGAGGAGCUGUCCUUAGUACGAGAGGACCGGGAUGGACAUACCUCUGGUGUACCAGUUGUCGUGCCAACGGCAUAGCUGGGUAGCUAUGUGUGGACGGGAUAAGUGCUGAAAGCAUCUAAGCAUGAAGCCCCCCUCAAGAUGAGAUUUCCCAACUUCGGUUAUAAGAUCCCUCAAAGAUGAUGAGGUUAAUAGGUUCGAGGUGGAAGCAUGGUGACAUGUGGAGCUGACGAAUACUAAUCGAUCGAAGACUUAAUCAA
rnacentral:rRNA from 1 species